AGGGGGAGGCCAAAUCCUGGGCUGUGUCCUGGCACCCUGUGCUCCAGUGCCUGCGCUGUUGGAUUCCCCCUCCCGGCCACACAGCCGCCU
rfam:Canis lupus familiaris chromosome 6, whole genome shotgun sequence.